CCUGCAUUGGGAGAUCAGAGUCUUAGCCACUGGACCACCAGGUCGUCAGGAGACCAGCAGGUCUGUUUAUGCCCUGGGAGAUGCUGGCAGCAAAUGCCUCAGCCACCUGAGUCAGCAAUGCUAGGCUCACCCCUGGCCCAGGGGCCUGUGCAGUGAUGCAGCUAGUAUUCUGGAUGUGAGUCAGAUGUGUGAGACUUGAAAGGCAGAAUUGAAUUGGAGAUCAUCUUCCUCCUUCUUAGCUUCUCCUGGUGAGCAAGCCUGCGAUGACUUCCCUGUGACGACGCUCUGUUAUCCUGGGUGUCGAGAGGCAGCCACAGUGACAGAGUGGUCUGCAUGCUUGCUCUCCAUACCCCUGGUCAGAACGAAAUGAACAGGCUGCUAUUUUUAGUUGGUAAAAGACUAUCGGCUGAAUAACCAGUGAAUCUGAAGGUAGAACUUUCAAAACAACAGCUUUCAAGGAGCAACACCUGAACUGGCCCUGAGAUUGGAGUAACUGCAAAAGUCAGCAUGAGUAGUGAUUCCUCUUUUGGAAAUAAUGCUUCUCCUUCCUGGAGGACAUCCUUAGAGCAUACUCUCAAUACUACUGUCUGUCACGAUAUGACUGGGGAAAGCACUUGAACUCUUUCAACUGUCUCUGUCUACAACAUGCCAGUGAUGAUCCUGACCCUGGGUGAGGUCGUGGGUGCAAGAGUAUCUUUGGCAGACUGUCUGCCAGAAAGUCCUUGGCUGUAAGCAUGUCUGUCCACGUCUGUGUCUGUGUGUAGAUGGAUCCAUGUGGGUCUAUAUGUAUGUAUCUGGAUGGAUCUUUCGUGUCUGUAAAUAGUUAGCUGGUGUAUCUGUGUGAGUUUCUAGGAACACAUGACUGUGUUCAUGACCAAAUUUGUAUGCACAUUGCUGGUGGGUAUAUCUACCUAUGUUGUGGGUGUGUGUGUUGUGUAUGUGAUGGUGCAUGUAGUGUUGGGCAAUGUCUGUGCAUCGAUAUGUCUUUGUCUGCACAUUCUUUAUCUGAAUGAUUUCAGAUGAAUACACCUAAC